UAGGGAAUCUUCGGCAAUGGACGGAAGUCUGACCGAGCAACGCCGCGUGAGUGAAGAAGGUUUUCGGAUCGUAAAGCUCUGUUGUUAGAGAAGAACGUUGGUAGGAGUGGAAAAUCUACCAAGUGACGGUAACUAACCAGAAAGGGACGGCUAACUACGUGCCAGCAGCCGCGGUAAUACGUAGGUCCCGAGCGUUGUCCGGAUUUAUUGGGCGUAAAGCGAGCGCAGGCGGUUCUUUAAGUCUGAAGUUAAAGGCUGUGGCUUAACCAUUGUACGCUUUGGAAACUGUAGGACUUGAGUGCAGAAGGGGAGAGUGUAAUUCCAUGUGUAACGGUGAAAUGCGUAGAUAUAUGGAGGAACACCGGUGGCGAAAGCGGCUCUCUGGUCUGUAACUGACGCUGAGGCUCGAAAGCGUGGGGAACAAACAGG
rnacentral:rRNA from 1 species